rnacentral:rRNA from 1 species
AUUGAACGCUGGCGGCAGGCCUAACACAUGCAAGUCGAGCGGAGCGGCGGACGGGUGCGUAAUGCCUAGGAAUCUGCCUGGUAGUGGGGGAUAACGUCCGGAAACGGGCGCUAAUACCGCAUACUAUCAGAUGAGCCUAGGUCGGAUUAGCCAUUUGGUGGGGUAAAGGCCUACCAAGGCGACGAUACGUAACUGGUCUGAGAGGAUGAUCAGUCAACAUGGAACUGAGGCCGGGUCCAAACUCCUACGGGAGGCAGCAGUGGGGAAUGUUGGACAAUGGGAGAAAGCCUGAUGAAGCCAGGACGCGUGUGUGAAGAAGGUCUUCGGAAUGUAAAGCACUUUAAGUUGGGAGGCGUUACCAACAGGAUAAGCACCGGCUAACUUCGUGCCAGCAGCCGCGGUAAUAC